rnacentral:rRNA from 1 species
UACGGAGGAUGCAAGCGUUAUCCGGAAUGAUUGGGCGUAAAGCGUCCGCAGGUGGCAAUGUAAGUCUGCUGUCAAAGCGUCUGGCUCAACCAGAUAAAGGCAGUGGAAACUACAUAGCUAGAGUAAGGUAGGGGUAGAGGGAAUUCCUGGUGUAGCGGUGAAAUGCGUAGAGAUCAGGAAGAACACCGGUGGCGAAAGCGCUCUGCUGGACCUAAACUGACACUGAGGGACGAAAGCUAGGGUAGCGAAUGGG